CAGCUAAAAUGCUAAGAAACAAGCUGCUGUCUCAGGUAUGGCCUCACAAGAGACAACACCUGCUGAAGUUAAGAGGCCUGCAGUGAUAUAUUGAAUAACAUCAUGGGGGACAUCAGGGACAUAAACAGGCUCCUUCUACUGAAAGGUAAUAUUAACUUUGAUGAGAAACAGCCUUCAAUGGAUACAAUCUAACACUCAACUCAGAAAAUCUAAAAAUGAGUGACCGUGGCUUGAGUGAGGAAUUUGUUAAACUCUUCUCCAGGAAAAGAAGAUCUGAUCAAGAUGUUGCUACUCUGUCUGGUUUGACAAAGACAUUUCCUUAUGUUAUAAAAACAUUCUCUCAUGAGGAUCUCCUCAAGAUCACAGAAUACUACAAGCCCUACUUGAGCUACGUGAUUGAAUACGACAUCACAAGUAUCCUUCAGAACCUGGCAACCAAGAACAUCCUCACCAAUGCUGAG